rnacentral:rRNA from 1 species
CUACGGGCCGCUGCAGUGGGGAAUAUUGCACAAUGGAGGAAACUCUGAUGCAGCAACGCCGCGUGGAGGAUGACACUUUUCGGAGCGUAAACUCCUUUUAUAUAGGAAGAAGAUGACGGUACUAUAUGAAUAAGCGCCGGCUAACUCCGUGCCAGCAGCCGCGGUAAUACGGAGGGCGCAAGCGUUACUCAGAAUCACUGGGCGUAAAGAGCGUGUAGGCGGAUUAAAAGGUCAGAAGUGAAAUCCUAUAGCUUAACUAUAGAACUGCUUCUGAAACUCUUAAUCUAGAAUAUGGGAGAGGUAGAUGGAAUUUCUGGUGUAGGGGUAAAAUCCGUAGAGAUCAGAAGGAAUACCGAUUGCGGAGGCGAUCUACUAGAACAUUAUUGACGCUGAGACGCGAAAGCGUGGGGAGCAAACAGGAUUAGAUACCCUAGUAGUC